rnacentral:rRNA from 1 species
GGCGUGCCUAAUACAUGCAAGUCGAACGAACUCUGGUAUUGAUUGGUGCUUGCAUCAUGAUUUACAUUUGAGUGAGUGGCGAACUGGUGAGUAACACGUGGGAAACCUGCCCAGAAGCGGGGGAUAACACCUGGAAACAGAUGCUAAUACCGCAUAACAACUUGGACCGCAUGGUCCGAGCUUGAAAGAUGGCUUCGGCUAUCACUUUUGGAUGGUCCCGCGGCGUAUUAGCUAGAUGGUGGGGUAACGGCUCACCAUGGCAAUGAUACGUAGCCGACCUGAGAGGGUAAUCGGCCACAUUGGGACUGAGACACGGCCCAAACUCCUACGGGAGGCAGCAGUAGGGAAUCUUCCACAAUGGACGAAAGUCUGAUGGAGCAACGCCGCGUGAGUGAAGAAGGGUUUCGGCUCGUAAAACUCUGUUGUUAAAGAAGAACAUAUCUGAGAGUAACUGUUCAGGUAUUGACGGUAUUUAACCAGAAAGCCACGGCUAACUACGUGCCAGCAGCCGCGGUAAUACGUAGGUGGCAAGCGUUGUCCGGAUUUAUUGGGCGUAAAGCGAGCGCAGGCGGUUUUUUAAGUCUGAUGUGAAAGCCUUCGGCUCAACCGAAGAAGUGCAUCGGAAACUGGGAAACUUGAGUGCAGAAGAGGACAGUGGAACUCCAUGUGUAGCGGUGAAAUGCGUAGAUAUAUGGAAGAACACCAGUGGCGAAGGCGGCUGUCUGGUCUGUAACUGACGCUGAGGCUCGAAAGUAUGGGUAGCAAACAGGAUUAGAUACCCUGGUAGUCCAUACCGUAAACGAUGAAUGCUAAGUGUUGGAGGGUUUCCGCCCUUCAGUGCUGCAGCUAACGCAUUAAGCAUUCCGCCUGGGGAGUACGGCCGCAAGGCUGAAACUCAAAGGAAUUGACGGGGGCCCGCACAAGCGGUGGAGCAUGUGGUUUAAUUCGAAGCUACGCGAAGAACCUUACCAGGUCUUGACAUACUAUGCAAAUCUAAGAGAUUAGACGUUCCCUUCGGGGACAUGGAUACAGGUGGUGCAUGGUUGUCGUCAGCUCGUGUCGUGAGAUGUUGGGUUAAGUCCCGCAACGAGCGCAACCCUUAUUAUCAGUUGCCAGCAUUAAGUUGGGCACUCUGGUGAGACUGCCGGUGACAAACCGGAGGAAGGUGGGGAUGACGUCAAAUCAUCAUGCCCCUUAUGACCUGGGCUACACACGUGCUACAAUGGAUGGUACAACGAGUUGCGAACUCGCGAGAGUAAGCUAAUCUCUUAAAGCCAUUCUCAGUUCGGAUUGUAGGCUGCAACUCGCCUACAUGAAGUCGGAAUCGCUAGUAAUCGCGGAUCAGCAUGCCGCGGUGAAUACGUUCCCGGGCCUUGUACACACCGCCCGUCACACCAUGAGAGUUUGUAACACCCAAAGUCGGUGGGGUAACCUUUUAGGAACCAGCCGCCUAAGGUGG